rnacentral:lncRNA from 1 species
ACUAUAAGGUUUGAAGAGUGGUACUGGAAAGAGAGGAAGAGUGGGACUGGGAGGAGUGGGACUGGAAAGAGAGGAAGAGUGGGACUGGGAGGAGUGGUACUGGAAAGAGAGGAAGAGUGGGACUGGGAGGAGUGGUACUGGAAAGAGAGGAAGAGUGGGACUGGGAGGAGUGGUACUGGAAAGAGAGGAAGAGUGGGACUGGGAGGAGUGGUACUGGAAAGAGAGGAAGAGUGGUACUGGAAAGAGAGGAAGAGUGGUACUGGGAGGAGUGGUACUGGAAAGAGAGGAAGAGUGGUACUGGAAAGAGAGGAAGAGUGGGACUGGGAGGAGUGGUACUGGAAAGAGAGGAAGAGUGGUACUGGGAGGAGUGGUACUGGAAAGAGAGGAAGAGUGGUACUGGAAAGAGAGGAAGAGUGGUACUGGAAAGAGAGGAAGAGUGGUACUGGGAGGAGUGGUACUGGAAAGAGAGGAAGAGUGGUACUGGAAAGAGAGGAAGAGUGGGACUGGGAGGAGUGGUACUGGAAAGAGAGGAAGAGUGGUACUGGGAGGAGUGGUACUGGAAAGAGAGGAAGAGUGGUACUGGAAAGAGAGGAAGAGUGGUACUGGGAGGAGUGGGACUGGAAAGAGAGGAAGAGUGGUACUGGAAAGAGAGGAAGAGUGGUACUGGGAGGAGUGGGACUGGAAAGAGAGGAAGAGUGGUACUGGGAGGAGUGGUACUGGAAAGAGAGGAAGAGUGGUACUGGAAAGAGAGGAAGAGUGGUACUGGGAGGAGUGGUACUGGAAAGAGAGGAAGAGUGGUACUGGAAAGAGAGGAAGAGUGGUACUGGAAAGAGAGGAAGAGUGGUACUGGGAGGAGUGGUACUGGAAAGAGAGGAAGAGUGGUACUGGAAAGAGAGGAAGAGUGGUACUGGGAGGAGUGGUACUGGAAAGAGAGGAAGAGUGGUACUGGAAAGAGAGGAAGAGUGGUACUGGGAAGAGUGGUACUGGAAAGAGAGGAAGAGUGGUACUGGGAGGAGUGGUACUGGAAAGAGAGGAAGAGUGGUACUGGAAAGAGAGGAAGAGUGGUACUGGGAGGAGUGGUACUGGAAAGAGAGGAAGAGUGGUACUGGAAAGAGAGGAAGAGUGGUACUGGGAAGAGUGGUACUGGAAAGAGAGGAAGAGUGGUACUGGAAAGAGAGGAAGAGUGGUACUGGGAGGAGUGGUACUGGAAAGAGAGGAAGAGUGGUACUGGGAGGAGUGGUACUGGAAAGAGAGGAAGAGUGGUACUGGAAAGAGAGGAAGAGUGGUACUGGGAGGAGUGGUACUGGAAAGAGAGGAAGAGUGGUACUGGAAAGAGAGGAAGAGUGGUACUGGAAAGAGAGGAAGAGUGGUACUGGAAAGAGAGGAAGAGUGGUACUGGGAGGAGUGGUACUGGAAAGAGAGGAAGAGUGGUACUGGAAAGAGAGGAAGAGUGGGACUGGGAGGAGUGGUACUGGAAAGAGAGGAAGAGUGGUACUGGGAGGAGUGGUACUGGAAAGAGAGGAAGAGUGGUACUGGAAAGAGAGGAAGAGUGGUACUGGAAAGAGAGGAAGAGUGGUACUGGGAGGAGUGGUACUGGAAAGAGAGGAAGAGUGGUACUGGAAAGAGAGGAAGAGUGGGACUGGGAGGAGUGGUACUGGAAAGAGAGGAAGAGUGGUACUGGGAGGAGUGGUACUGGAAAGAGAGGAAGAGUGGUACUGGAAAGAGAGGAAGAGUGGUACUGGGAGGAGUGGGACUGGAAAGAGAGGAAGAGUGGUACUGGAAAGAGAGGAAGAGUGGUACUGGGAGGAGUGGGACUGGAAAGAGAGGAAGAGUGGUACUGGGAGGAGUGGUACUGGAAAGAGAGGAAGAGUGGUACUGGAAAGAGAGGAAGAGUGGUACUGGGAGGAGUGGUACUGGAAAGAGAGGAAGAGUGGUACUGGAAAGAGAGGAAGAGUGGUACUGGAAAGAGAGGAAGAGUGGUACUGGGAGGAGUGGUACUGGAAAGAGAGGAAGAGUGGUACUGGAAAGAGAGGAAGAGUGGUACUGGGAGGAGUGGUACUGGAAAGAGAGGAAGAGUGGUACUGGAAAGAGAGGAAGAGUGGUACUGGGAAGAGUGGUACUGGAAAGAGAGGAAGAGUGGUACUGGGAGGAGUGGUACUGGAAAGAGAGGAAGAGUGGUACUGGAAAGAGAGGAAGAGUGGUACUGGGAGGAGUGGUACUGGAAAGAGAGGAAGAGUGGUACUGGAAAGAGAGGAAGAGUGGUACUGGGAAGAGUGGUACUGGAAAGAGAGGAAGAGUGGUACUGGAAAGAGAGGAAGAGUGGUACUGGGAGGAGUGGUACUGGAAAGAGAGGAAGAGUGGUACUGGGAGGAGUGGUACUGGAAAGAGAGGAAGAGUGGUACUGGAAAGAGAGGAAGAGUGGUACUGGGAGGAGUGGUACUGGAAAGAGAGGAAGAGUGGUACUGGGAAGAGUGGUACUGGAAAGAGAGGAAGAGUGGUACUAGAAAGAGAGGAAGAGUGGUACUAGAAAGAGAGGAAGAGUGGUACUGGAAAGAGAGGAAGAGUGGUACUGGAAAGAGAGGAAGAGUGGUACUGGGAAGAGAGGAAGUGGUACUGGGAGGAGUGGUACUGGAAAGAGAGGAAGGGUGGUACUGGAAAGAGAGGAAGAGUGGUACUGGGAAGAGUGGUACUGGAAAGAGAGGAAGAGUGGUACUGGGAAGAGUGGUACUGGAAAGAGAGGAAGAGUGGUACUGGGAAGAGUGGUACUAG